AUUGAACGCUGGCGGCAGGCCUAACACAUGCAAGUCGAGCGGAUGAAGGGAGCUUGCUCCUGGAUUCAGCGGCGGACGGGUGAGUAAUGCCUAGGAAUCUGCCUGGUAGUGGGGGAUAACGUCCGGAAACGGGCGCUAAUACCGCAUACGUCCUGAGGGAGAAAGUGGGGGAUCUUCGGACCUCACGCUAUCAGAUGAGCCUAGGUCGGAUUAGCUAGUUGGUGGGGUAAAGGCCUACCAAGGCGACGAUCCGUAACUGGUCUGAGAGGAUGAUCAGUCACACUGAAACUGAGACACGGCCCAGCCUCCUACGGAAGGCAGCGGUGGGGAAUAUUGGACAAUGGGCGAAAGCCUGAUCCAGCCAUGCCGCGUGUGUGAAGAAGGUCUUCGGUUUGUAAAGCCCUUAAGUUGGGAGGAAGGGCAGUAAGUUAAUACCUUGCUGUUUUGACGUUACCAACAGAAUAAGCACCGGCUAACUUCGUG
rnacentral:rRNA from 1 species